AUGACUGAAUUUGCGUUGGCUGGCGUUACAUGUCUUCAAAAACCUGGCCUUGUUCCUUUUACCCCCAAAAAAGGACCAGGUCAAUGUGCUAAUUCCUGGUUCAUCUUUGUCUGGAUGAAGAUUUGUAGGUUGCAUGGUGACAGUUUCACCAUGAGAAUCGUCCGUCCGUCCGCGGGUGCUGAUUGGCAGGGAGAAGGUGGUGCUGAGGAUCUUGAAGACGGUGAAGAACUCGCGCAGCGCCGUGCUCAAGACCUCUGCGAUGGCAUGCACUGCUCUGCACUGCUCUGUGUCCAUUCAUGCUUCGCAAAGGUAACUCCUUCCCUAGUUAUUCCUCGUCGAUCUCAUGGCACAUACUUAUCCCUCCAUGGUAGCUGA
rnacentral:rRNA from 1 species